rnacentral:lncRNA from 1 species
UUCAUUAGUUAUUGAGGUUUAAAUUUGUUAUAGGAAUUACUAGGAUUUGGUUUAGGAUUUAGGAUUUGGAUUAGAGUUUUAUUUAGGAUUUAGGGUUUGGUUUAUGAUUUGGUUGGAGUUUAUUUAGGUUUUAGGAUUUGGUUAGGAUUUGGUUUAGGAUUUAGUUAGAAUUUGAUUUAGGGUCUAGGAUUUGGUUAGGGUUUAGUGUUUGGAUCAGAGAUUGGUUAGGAUUUGAUUUAGGAUUUAUAUUAAGAUUUGAUUAGGGUUUGAUUUAGGAUUUAGGAUUUUAUUAGGAUUUAAGAUUCAAUUAAAUUUGGCUUAAAGUUUGAAUGAAGUUCAAUAGGAUUUUAACUAGAAUUAAAUUAAGAUUGAAUUGAGAUGUAUUUGAAUGAUAUUUGUGAUCCUUCUAAUAUUUCUUUAAGAAUUCUUAUUGUUUGUUUGAAAUUUCUUUGAGGUUUUUUUUGAAUUUAAUUAAGCUUGCUUACUAUUAUAGUCUAAUUAGAACAUUGUUAGUAUUCUAUUAGAAUUAUGAUUUUGUUAUUAUAAUUUCCAUUCUUCCUUCCACAACAAGGUGCCCGGAGCAUUCUCAAACAAGACUUCACGUAUUACGACAUAUUUUGUGAACCCGACAUAAAACACUGGA